rnacentral:rRNA from 1 species
UUAAGCAUAUCAUUAAGUGCAGGAAAAGAAAUCAAAUGAGAUUCCCUUAGUAACGGCGAGUGAAACGGGAAAAGGCUCAGCGCUGAAGCCGGCUGUUGAAAGACAGUCGUGCAAUGUGGCGUUCGGGAUUGCUGAUUGUUUGCAACUGAUAAUUGGUUCAAGUCACAUGGUAUGGUGCUCCUUGGAGGGUGAAAGACCCGUAUAGCCAAUGAAUCAGCUACAAACAAGCAACUCCUUCGAGUCGGGUUGUUCGCGAAUGCAGCCCUAAGCAGGUGGUAAGCUCCAUCUAAAGCUAAAUACAACCACAAGACCGAUAGUCAACAAGUACAGUGAUGGAAAGUUGAAAAGUACUCUGAAGAGAGAGUCAAAUAGCCCGUGAAACUGCUAUUUAUGGGAUUAAGCGCACGUGUGGCACGUGUCGUCUGACAAAUAGGCGUCGAGCAUCUUAGCCGUUUCGCGGUGCGCAGUGCUGAUUGUUAGCGCAAUCGGUGCUGGGUAAAGUUCGAAUGUUAGUGCUAAUGCUCGAGCGUCUCACUUUGUCGGGCAUUGACAGAUCGAGGCGUCGUUCGAGCCAGUUCCAAAGACCCAAGUGUGAUCUGCCGAGCUGUGUCCAGUUGGCUGUGUGUUUCGGCACAGGGCCAAUGCUGUGUCGAAUGUGCAACCGUGAGAGCGGUUGGCGGCACUGGAACACUGGUCGCGUAAUGUUAAUUCACACUUGGCCGGUUACUGUCGGACGCUUAGCGCACAGGUGAGUGUUCACACUCGUCUUUCGGUCGAUGUGCUAUCACGUGCGGCCCGUCUUGAAACACGGACCAAGGAGUCUAACAUGUGAGCAAACGAUUGAGUAUUUGCCCAAACUCAAACGUGCAAUGAAAGUGAAUCACCAAUUUGGUGUGAGAGCGGAGAUCGUUGCCGUUAGGUAACGCGCAUCCGCUGGCCGCGUCAUCAGCUAGCUUGACCACUGUUUCAGUGGCCACUGCUGGGGCGUGGACCGAGAGUUCACACGUUGGUACCCGAAAGAUGGUGAACUAUGCUUGGCCAGGAUGAAGCCAGGGGAAACUCUGGUGGAAGUCCGUAGCGAUUCUGACGUGCAAAUCGAUCGUCUGAGCUGGGUAUAGGGGCGAAAGACUAAUCGAACCAUCUAGUAGCUGGUUCCGCUUGAAGUUUCCCUCAGGAUAGCUGGCGUUUGUGGAAACAGAAUUUCAUCCGGUAAAGCGAAUGAUUAGAGAAACCGGGUUGUUAAUAUGCUCGAUCUAUUAUCAAACUUUCAAUGGGUGAGAGGUCCCGCUGUCUUUAUUGCAGCGGUGACUUUGAAUCCGAAUGCCCAGUGGGCCACUUUUGGUAAGCAGAACUGGCGAUGCGGGAUGAACCGCAUGUCGAGUUAAGGUGCCUAAACGAACGCACAUCAGACACCAUGAAAGGUGUUGAUUGCUUAAGACAGCAGGACGGUGGCCAUGGAAGUCGGCAUCCGCUAAGGAGUGUGUAACAACUCACCUGCCGAAGCAAUCAGCCCUGAAAAUGGAUGGCGCUGAAGCGUUCUACCGAUACUCGACCGUCGUCGGCAUGUGCCGCCCGCGCAAGCGGGUGUCUCAAGCCACGACGAGUAAAGUGGCGCGGCAGUGGCGUAGAAGGCGUAGCCGUAAGGCGAGCUGGAGCCGCUGUCGAUGCAGAUCUUGGUGGCAGUAGCAAAUACACAAGCAAGAUCCUUGUGGACCGAUGUGGAGAAGGGUUCCGCGCGAACAGUAUUUGAACGUGGGUGAGUCGGUCCUUAGCCAACGGGUAACUCCCGCAUCCCAAUGUUAUCAUGCGUUUAUGAAUGGCCGUUCUAAUCUAAAU